rnacentral:rRNA from 1 species
AACGAACGCUGGCGGCGUGCUUAACACAUGCAAGUCGAACGGUGAAAGCGGAGCUUGCUCCGCUGGACCAGUGGCGAACGGGUGAGUAACACGUGGGCAACCUGCCCCUGACUUCGGGAUAACUCCUCGAAAGCGGUGCUAAUACCGGAUACGAAUCCUGCAGGCAUCUGCGGGAUUGGAAAGUUCGUCGGUCUGGGAUUGGCCCGGGGCCUAUCAGCUUGGUGGUGAGGUAGGGGCUUACCAAGGCGACGACGGGUAGCCGGCCUGAGAGGGCGACCGGCCAGAAGAGAAGGGAGACAAGGUGCAGAAUCCUACGGGAGGCAGCAGUGGGGAAUAUUGCGCAAUGAGCGGAAGCCUGACGCAGCAACGCCGCGUGGGGGAUGACGGGCUUCGGGUUGUAAACCUCUUACAGCAGGGAAAAAGCGAAAGUGAGGGUACCUGCAGAAGAAGCACCGGCUAACUACGUGACAGCAGCCGCCGUAA